rnacentral:tRNA from 1 species
GGGGCUAUAGCUCAGCUGGGAGAGCGUCUGGCUGGCAGCCAGAAGGUCGCCGGUUCGAGCCCGGCUAGCUCCAC